GGAUAAUUUGCAGUAACAGCAGAAAGCCUGAUUAUGGCUCAGAUUGAACGCUGGCGGAUGCUUUACUACGCAGCCGAACGGCAGCACGGACUUCGGCUCCGGUGGCGAGUGGCGAACGGGUGAGUACGUAUCGGAACGCCUAGUGAUAGUGGGGAUAAUUACGCGAAAGUUAGUAAUGAAUAUCGCAUACGCCCUUCGGGGGAAAGCGGGGACCUUCGGGCCUCGCACUAUUAGAGCGGGCCGGUUAUCGGAUUAGCUAGUUACAGGGUAACGGCUCACCAAGGCGACGAUCCGUAGCUGGUUUGAGAGGACGACCAGCCACACUGGGACUGAGACACGGCCCAGACUCCUACGGGAGGCAGCAGUGGGGGAAUCCUGGACAAUAAACCCCUGAUCCAGCCACUCCGCGUGUGCGAUGAAGGCCUUCGGGUUGUAAAGCACUUUGGCAGGAAAGAAACGGCACGGAUAAUACUCCGCAACUGACGGUACCUGCAGAAUAAGCACCGGCUAACUACGUGCCAGCAGCCGCGGUAUACGUAGGGUGCAAGCGUUAAUCGGAAUUACCGGGGCGGAAGCGUGCGCAGGCGGUUCGGAAAGAAAGAUGAAAUCCCAGAGCUUAAUCUUGGAACUGUAUUUUUAACUACCGAGCUAGGAGUGUGUCAGAGGGAGGUGAAUUCCGCGUAGCAGAAAUGCGUAGAUAUGGAGGGAACACCGAUGGCGAAGGCAGCCUCCUGGGGAUAACACCACGCUCAUGCACGAAAGCGUGGGGAGCAAACAGGAUUAGAUACCCUGAAGUCCACGCCCUAAACGAUGUCAACUAGCUGUUGGGGCCUUCGGGCCUGGUAGCGCAGCUAACGCGUGAAAGUUGGACCGCCCGGGGAGUACGGUCGCAAGAUUAAAACUCAAAGGAAUUGACGGACCCGCACAAGCGGUGGAUGAUGUGGAUGAAUUCCUGAUGCAACGCGAAAAACCUUACCUACCCUUGACAUGUCUGGAAUCCCGAAGAGAUUUGGGAGUGCUCGUAAGAGAACCGGAACACAGGUGCCGUGGGUGGCUGUCGUCAGCUCGUGUCGUGAGAUGUUGGGUUAAGUCCCGCAACGAGCGCAACCCUGUCAUUAGUUGCUACGGAAAGGGCACUCUAAUGAGGACUGCCGGUGACAAACCGGAGGCGAAGGUGGGGAUGACGUCAAGUCCUCAUGGCCCUUAUGGGUAGGGCUUCACACGUCAUACAAAUGGUCGGGACAGAGGGCUCGCCAACCCGCGAGGGGGAGCUAAUCCCAGAAACCCGAUCGUGGAACCGAUCCGCAGUCUGCAACUCGACUGCGUGAAGUCGGGAAUCGCUAGUAAUCGCGGAUCAGCAUGUCGCGGUGAAUACGUUCCCGCCUCGCGGUGGUACCGCCCGUCACACCAUGGGAGUGGGUUUUACCAGAAGUAGUUAGUCAACCGUAAGGAGGGCGAUUACCACGGUAGGAUCUAUGACUGGGGUGAAGUCGUAACAAGGU
rnacentral:rRNA from 1 species